UGUGGAGAAGGCUAGAGGCCAGUUCUAUCUUGGAGCUCCCCUCAGACAGCUUCUCUUCAGAUCGGUCACCUUUGUAACGGAGGACUUGGUUUCUGAAUCUGUGACUGUUCUCAGAUUUCCACACAUCCCAGAGGGAAACAGAGAAGGAAACCUCAUCAGUUCCAUGCUACAAGUACAGAGUCUUCUGCCCAGUGGGUACUACAUAAGCACUUGCUGAUCUUUCCCUAAAGGUACAAUGACCUCGAAUGGCCAAUACAGCAUUCUACAUGUGGUUGACAGAUGAGCCACCCAAGGAGGAUUCUGGCUGACUUUGGCCUGAAGGCAAGACAGGAUGAAGCGAAUUAUUGGUUUCCAACUCCUUUGUUUUUAAUCUGGGCCAGAGCACCAUGUGGAAGCCUGGAGACAUUAUCUCAAUAAGUUCAAAACCAACCAACAUUGAAAAUGGAAUCUUCCUUCCCUUCCUGGCCACCUUGUUUAAAUGCAACCAAGUAUCCAGGACCCAUGGGUGCAUGCCUGUUCACUACUGUGGCCAUCCCUGAGACCCCCGAGCUAGAGAAUAGCUCUUCCAUGAAGGCUGCUAGAUUCCCCAACUAGAAGUUAUCUCUGCUGGGAACAGGCUAGGGCUACUUUCUACUGGUUCAAGAGAACUAUUACGUUUUCAGUGUGAGCAUUUAUCUCUUAGAAAAGAGUAAAAAUAAAAAUUGGGCCUUGAUUGAUUGUCAUAGAUUAACAAAAUGAUGGAGAAAAUGUUCCGCAUAGAUUAAACUUGAAGGGAGAUGAGGUUUGUGUUGUUUUUUCAGAGAGCUGGUUGUUAAAUAUUUGAUAGAAAACCUCUGGGCCUCACUCUUUCCUUCAGUUCCUUAUACUAUUCUCUCCCCUCCUCUAUGCAGUCAUCAUUUGUUAUUUAUCCGCCCAUCUUCUUAUCUGUUCUCCCAGAGCAGAAGCUCCUGAGGGCAGGGACGAGGCUACUUUUCCAUCCUUUUAGCAGAGCUAAUAGGAGCAAUAGGAGAGCGCGUUCUAUUCCACACAGCAGCUAACUAGUCAUACUUAUAAAGAGCAAGUGUGACUUCAUCCCUCUCCCCUUCCGAAAAGUUCCAGGGACUUCCUCUUGACUCUAAGGCAACAUCAAAUCUCCUUGCUUUCCCCCCUUCCAUCUUUGCUCGAUGCAUCUUCCAACUCUGUGGACGGGCAGCAUGUGGCUCCCUUCAUGACCUGAUGGGCCAGCUAAAGCUAAGCUGCUCUCGCUCCUCCACACUCCUAACACACCUCCUGCUCCAACUGGGCCCCAUGCCUGGAAUCCCUUCCAGUCUGAAGAAUCAAUAACGACUGCCUUUGGGGACCAGUUCAAGUUUUCUCCGGAGCCCCCACUUGUGAGCCUCACCACUUUGUAUCAGGGAAUGGCCAUCUAUCUCUUCUGCCCUCAUUUAUCUAGGGAUGCUCCAUGUUAUUUUCCACAGCAGGCUCUAAACUCCAUGAAGACAAGAAGCCAUAUUUGUUUGGGGCUCUGGCUCUCCAGUGUCUAGAUGUAGUCUGACCUAGAGUCACCACAGAAGAAACACCUAUAAACGAAUGGAUAAAUCAGUUUGUUGAAAUCCAUUUUGUCGUUGGGUUGUCAUAGCCAGAACACGUAUCUACAUGAAGCAGGGAGGGGGUGGUAGUGGGACAGAGGACAGAAUUUAGAAUCAAAGAACUCGUAUGAAGACCUGACUCUUCCACUGGUACCUGUGGGACCUUGGUCUCUCGUCACUGCCUCUCUGAAUUCCAGUUUUCUCAUUUGUCCAAUGCAGCCUGUGACUCCUGCACUACUUAUGGCAUAGAGAAGUCGACAAGAAUAAAGGCAUAUUCAACUCCUGUCAAACAUGAAACACUAUGGUGUUAAUAAUAAUAAUAAUAGUUACACUCCAUAAUAGUGUUUUAAGGUUUCACAAGGCAAUCACAUGCAUUAUCUGGAUAAGACAGGUCCAAGGAUUAUCCCCAUUUUACAGAUGUAUAAACUAAAUUCUAGAGCACUUCGGUAACUUGUCAUGAUUACACUGAUUAGAUGUCUUCAGUAGGAUUUGAAUGCAAAACUAGAUGAUGCUAAGACCAGAGUUUUGCUCUUCCUAUAGCUUCUAGGAUUCCUUUCAAACUUCCUCUUCUAGGGCCUCAUUGAAUUGUAGAGAGAACUUGAGCUCACAAAGGACAGGUCAGCUCUGGCAGGUCAUAUCUUCCUGGAAAGGUCCCAUUGUGAACCGUGUUCCGCCAUUGAAGGGAUAGCCUAGCCAAAUCCAGGGAAACUGCUUGCUGGUUAAUUGGCGAGUUUGCCAAAAGAGGAUGAAUUUCUCAGAUACAACCACUAGUUAGGACUGUUGACUAACAAAAAGUGGAUAAAGGAUAGAGUGGUAUAAGUACCCACAGAAAGACUGAGUAAUGGAAAUAUUGACAAAAUCGUUUUUAUAACAUAACAUUACUAUGAUAAUGAGGAGAGCAAUGAUGAUGAUGAUGAUGUUAACCUAAUUCCAAAGUUGCCAAUUCUUUCAUUGAAAGAUCUAAUGAAAAAGUGGCUCUAGAUGCAGUGAGGCGAGAUUAAGGGGGAAAAUAAAAGGAACCAAGACAAUAUGUCUUCCUCACAUAAGCACGGAAAUGAAUAAUUUUAAUCUCUACUCUUGUCUUUUCUUCCGAUUGGUCAAUUUUGACCUGGAAAUAGAUGGAGAAUAAAACCCA